rnacentral:rRNA from 1 species
UCCUACGGGGGGCAGCAGUGAGGAAUAUUGGUCAAUGGGCGGGAGCCUGAACCAGCCAAGCCGCGUGAGGGAAGACGGCCCUAUGGGUUGUAAACCUCUUUUGUCGGAGAACGAAACCCGGGACGAGUCCCGGACUGCGUGUAUCCGAAGAAAAAGCAUCGGCUAACUCCGUGCCAGCAGCCGCGGUAAUACGGAGGAUGCGAGCGUUAUCCGGAUUUAUUGGGUUUAAAGGGUGCGUAGGCGGUCCGCUAAGUCAGCGGUAAAAUUGCGGGGCUCAACCCCGUCGAGCCGUGUAAACUGGCAGG